CAGUUUUCUUGGCGAGGGUUUAGGGUUAGGUCUUUAUCUUGGGGCCCUUGUUUUAAUUUCCAGAAUUAGACAAGUGAUGCAAGCCACCACAGCCUUCUUUUUUGUUCCCGCAUAAGUCUCGUCAUCACUCACUGUCUCUCCAACUUCUCACAAGCAAUUGAAUGAUCCUUAUAUAAUUGCUUUGCUGCUGCUAUUGAUUCUCCAUCUCAAGAUCAUCGUCAUGUCUAGUAUCCUAUCUUCUCUUUUCUCGAUCUUUUUUCUGUUUCUUUCGAUGCAUGCAUGCGAGGCUCGCUAUAUCGGGCUUGGCCCUAAGGGUUUUGGAGCACCAUUCCUACCUUUCGGCAAGGGUCUGUUACUUUUGGAGAAGUUUAAAACACUUGGAAUGGAUUCAAGUAAAGGAUUCGUUAUGAAGGAAUAUGACGCAGCUGAAAAGGGUCAUGGUGGUGCAAUCACUAGUACUACGACUCCUGUAAAGGAAGUGAAGUGCACUAGCAGAGGACACAAAUCAGGGAUGGAACCAGCCGGAAGUGAGAUUGUAGAGUCUUCUGAUCAUCACAUGCUAGAUGUGGUGGAUCGAGGAGCAUAUGGGACCUCAUCAGGAUCAAUCUUUUUCUUUAUGUCGAAUCGUGGAGGGUGACAAUGGAAGAUAUGUUGUCUGUAUGCUUGAAUUGUCGAAUGUGCGAGUUGCAAUUAAUUAAUUGGGUGUCAGGAUCAGAAAUUGAAAAAAGAAGCAAGGAGGAGAGCUCUAUCUGGUAAAGAAGCCGUAAAUUACAACAGUGAUGACAAAGUAGAAGAUAAUGUGGUGCAUACAGAUUACAACCCGCCACAUUCGACACCACCCAUUCACAACAGAAAAAGUUAAUUACCAAGUGUAAAGCUAUAGACAAUCAAGAUCAAUCCAGCGAUAAAAAAGAUGCCACUUGUUAGAUGCUACUUGUCAAGAGAUUAGCUUAUAAGAGUUGUUAGUUGGUUAAGAAUCAGUUUGCUUACUGUGUAAGGAAUGUAACUAGUCUAAAUAGGAAAUCCAUGUAUCCAUUGAGUGUGUGAAGAAAUAAUAUCAGUGAAAUACUCUC